rnacentral:rRNA from 1 species
CUUGGGUGGCGAGUGGCGGACGGGUGAGGAAUACAUCGGAAUCUGCCUAUUUGUGGGGGAUAACGUAGGGAAACUUACGCUAAUACCGCAUACGACCUACGGGUGAAAGCCGGGGACCUUCGGGCCUGGCGCAGAUAGAUGAGCCGAUGUCGGAUUAGCUAGUUGGCGGGGUAAAGGCCCACCAAGGCGACGAUCCGUAGCUGGUCUGAGAGGAUGAUCAGCCACACUGGAACUGAGACACGGUCCAGACUCCUACGGGAGGCAGCAGUGGGGAAUAUUGGACAAUGGGCGCAAGCCUGAUCCAGCCAUGCCGCGUGGGUGAAGAAGGCCUUCGGGUUGUAAAGCCCUUUUGUUGGGAAAGAAAAGCAGUCGGUUAAUACCCGAUUGUUCUGACGGUACCCAAAGAAUAAGCACCGGCUAACUUCGUGCCAGCAGCCGCGGUAAUACGAAGGGUGCAAGCGUUACUCGGAAUUACUGGGCGUAAAGCGUGCGUAGGUGGUUUGUUAAGUCUGAUGUGAAAGCCCUGGGCUCAACCUGGGAAUUGCAUUGGAUACUGGCAGGCUAGAGUGCGGUAGAGGGUAGUGGAAUUCCCGGUGUAG